GAUGAACGCUGGCGGCGUGCCUAAUACAUGCAAGUCGAGCGAACAGACGAGGAGCUUGCUCCUCUGACGUUAGCGGCGGACGGGUGAGUAACACGUGGAUAACCUACCUAUAAGACUGGGAUAACUUCGGGAAACCGGAGCUAAUACCGGAUAAUAUAUUGAACCGCAUGGUUCAAUAGUGAAAGACGGUUUUGCUGUCACUUAUAGAUGGAUCCGCGCCGCAUUAGCUAGUUGGUAAGGUAACGGCUUACCAAGGCAACGAUGCGUAGCCGACCUGAGAGGGGGAUCGGCCAACCUGGAACUGGGGCCCGGUCCAGACCCCGACGGGAGGCAGCAGGAGGGAAUCUUCCGCAAGGGGCGAAAGCCUGCCGGAGCAACCCCGCGUGAGUGAUGAAGGUCUUCGGAUCGUAAAACUCUGUUAUUAGGGAAAAACAAAUGUGUAAGUAACUAUGCACGUCUUGACGGUACCUAAGCAGAAAGCCACGGCUAACUACGU
rnacentral:rRNA from 1 species